GCCAGGCAUGGUGGUGUGUGCCUGUAAUCCCAGUGAUGUGGGAGGCUGAGGUAGGAGGAUUACAAGUUUGAGGCCAGCCUGGCAACUCAGUGAGGCCCUGUCUCUA
rnacentral:sRNA from 1 species